rnacentral:rRNA from 1 species
AUGCUCUCCAAAGCGGCUCGAUGUGGACACAUUAUUCCUGUGGUCUCUCACCUACUUCCGGAAGGGGUCUCUCAUUUGCAAUAUGCGGAUGACACAAUCAUCUUGGUAGAGUUGGACAAUGCCUGUAUUGCCAAUCUGAAAUUUAUUCUGUUGUGCUUCGAAGCUGUUUCUGGUCUUAAGAUCAAUUUCGCCAAGAGUGAGGUUAUGGUGACGGGGGUUGACCGGGCGAAGGCCUUGCGGGUGGCCAGACUCCUCAACUGCUCCUUAGGUUCCUUUCCUUUCAAAUAUUUAGGUCUUCCUAUCUCUCCUGGUCUGCUUCACGCGAAAGACUUCGCUCCGGUGGUUGCUAAAGUGGGGAAUAUGGUUCUUCCUUGGAGGGGUAGGUAUAAUACCAAUGCUGGCAAAGUGGCUCUAAUCAAUUCUUGCUUAUCCUCUCUCCCGUUGUUCCUUAUGGGCUUUUACCGUCUCACGGAUGGUGUGCAUGCUGGCUUCGACAAACAUAGGGGUGGCUUUUAUUGGAAUUCUGCAGAUAACAAAAGGAAGUAUAGGUUGGUUAAGUGGCAGCUUAUGUGCAAGCCUAAAAACCUUGGGGGGUUAGGCAUUAUUAAUACUCGGGUGAUGAAUAUUUGUCUGCUCAUUAAGUGGUGGUGGAAAAUU